rnacentral:misc_RNA from 1 species
GAUGAAGAACGCAGCGAAAUGCGAUAAGUAAUGUGAAUUGCAGAAUUCAGUGAAUCAUCGAAUCAUUGAACGCACAUUGCGCCCGCCAGCAUUCUGGCGGGCAUGCCUGUUCGAGCGUCAUUUCAACCCUCGAGCCCCCCCGGGGGCCUCGGUGUUGGGGGACGGCACACCAGCCGCCCCCGAAAUGCAGUGGCGACCCCGCCGCAGCCUCCCCUGCGUAGUAGCACACACCUCGCACCGGAGCGCGGAGGCGGUCACGCCGUAAAACGCCCAACUUUCUUAGAGUUGACCUCGGAUCAGGUAGGAAUACCCGCUGAACUUAAGCAUAUCAAUAAGCGGAGGA